GAUGAACGCUGGCGGCGUGCCUAAUACAUGCAAGUCGAGCGAACAGACGAGGAGCUUGCUCCUCUGACGUUAGCGGCGGACGGGUGAGUAACACGUGGAUAACCUACCUAUAAGACUGGGAUAACUUCGGGAAACCGGAGCUACUACCGGAUAAUAUAUUGAACCGCAUGGUUCAAUAGUGAAAGACGGUUUUGCUGUCACUUAUAGAUGGAUCCGCGCCGCAUUAGCUAGUUGGUAAGGUAACGGCUUACCAAGGCAACGAUGCGUAGCCGACCUGAGAGGGUGGUCGGCCACACUGGAACUGAGACACGGUCCAGACUCCUACGGGAGGCAGCAGUAGGGAAUCUUCCGCAAUGGGCGAAAGCCUGACGGAGCAACGCCGCGUGAGUGAUGAAGGUCUUCGGAUCGUAAAACUCUGUUAUUAGGGAAGAACAAAUGUGUAAGUAACUAUGCACGUCUUGACGGUACCUAAUCAGAAAGCCACGGCUAACUACGUG
rnacentral:rRNA from 1 species